UUCUGUUUUGGUCUCUUUUUCUUUCUUAGAUCACACACCCAUGAGAAAGCCAAAUGCCAUGUUGUAAGGAGAGGCCCAUGUGGUGAGGAACUGAAGCCUCCUGCCAGCAGCCACAUGAGCUACUUUGGAUAUAAAUGCAGCCUUUCCAGCCCAGAUGGGUCUUGUUUAUUCAAAGACAAAGGAGAGGAUAAAUUUCAUAUUUAAACUAAUCUGUUCCCCCAAAAUGGUAACAGUCCAACACUGGCCAAGCUGAUUCAGACAGCACAGCUUCCCGGGCUCUGCGGGGCUGGACCAAAGAGAAGAGUCCUCCGCGGGUGCUAGAAGAGCGAAGCACGU
rnacentral:lncRNA from 1 species